UACGUAGGGGGCAAGCGUUGUCCGGAUUUAUUGGGCGUAAAGAGCGUGUAGGCGGCCUGACAGGUCCGUUGUGAAAACUAGAGGCUUAACCUCUAGACGUCGAUGGAAACCGUCUGGCUAGAGUCCGGAAGAGGAGAAUGGAAUUCCUGGUGUAGCGGUGAAAUGCGCAGAUAUCAGGAAGAACACCCGUGGCUAAGGCGGUUCUCUAGUACGGUACUGACGCUGAGACGCGAAAGCGUGGGGAGCGAACAGG
rnacentral:rRNA from 1 species